UACAGAGGGUGCUAACGUUGUUCGGAAUCACUGGGCUUAAAGCGCACGUAGGCGGCUAGGCAAGUGCGAUGUGAAAGCCCCCGGCCCAACCGGGGAACUGCAUCGUAGACUGCCUGGCUUGAGAGCGGUAGGGGAGACUAGAACUCCUGGUGGAGCGGUGAAAUGUGUUGAUAUCGGAAGGAACGCCGGUGGCGAAAGCGGCACACUGGGUCUCAACUGACGCUGAGGCACGAAAGCCAGGGGAGCAAACGGG
rnacentral:rRNA from 1 species